rnacentral:misc_RNA from 1 species
UUGCUUGCCGCCCCCGACGCUUCUCCCACCUGCAUCCCUGCCUCAUAGCGUUCUUUGAAUUACCCCGUGUCUCAGAGUUUCUUCUGUCGUGUGUUGCGCUGCACUAUUCGUCCCCCUUCUCAUCACCUCUCUCUGCGCGUGGCAUCUCUAAGUUCGAUGUAUUCCAUAGCACUCCCGGUGUCUCUCCCCCCGGGAGCCGUUCCGAAUUUUUUUCUGCCCCCCCCCCUCCUCCUUCGUUUUCCUUCCCUACCUUUUGCUAUCAUUACUUGAGCUAUGCUUGGUGCCAUGGAUGUAAAGCGCAUAGCGAGUGCGUAGGUGUGAGUGCGUCGUGCGUGCCUUUGUUGGCCCCCAUCGCUGUCCGAUCACUGCUUCUCCUAUCCUCCCCUCUGACGGCUUCGUGGGCGUUUGUACAAGCCGUGCACCCGCAAACAACCGACCACAUUUUACAAAGAGUAACCAGCACAGGUAUGCCGUCGUGCGAGAGGAGGGGGCGAACAAGGUCGAGCCUCUCUACCCCUUUCACGCGGCUACAAUGCUGCCGCUGCACAUUCGAAGAGGCGGCGGCCGACAUUUUUUUUUUUCCAGAACUUCCUCAAGCUGCCAGCGAAUCCAGCGGCGGCAAAAAAGAGUUGCGGUACGGUACUCGCUUGUUCAG